rnacentral:lncRNA from 1 species
GCCAGCAGCAGGAGGACCGCGGGAGCGAGCCUCAGUGCUUUGAACGCCUCCUGCUCCAUCACAGUGACUGCUCAAGGCAGGACACCUGAUCCUAUCGGAAUCCACCCACGGAUGGGGCCUCCACGUGAAAAGUAACUACAAAACAGAACCAGAAAAUAGUCAUGCUGUUCAAACAAGAACAAUCCCUCUGCCUGAUGAGGACAUCAACCCAUUCUUGGGGGUCAGCUGCAGUACGGACAGCUGUGUUACCUGCAUACGUCCUAGUGUUCUGUCCAUGGCACCAUGGCUGAAGAGUCCGGAGAUCCGGCUUCUGGGCCAGAAUCAAUCAUCAACCUUCUGCGUUAUUCAGAUAAACACUUUACCCAAGUACGCACUUCUCACUAUCUAACAACAAUUUCAAAGCAUUUUGAAAAAAGUCCUAGCUGAUGAUUGGACACCCUCUAUCAGAGGACUCUUUUAUCAAGGUCCAUUCAACUUUUGUUUUCUAAGAAUCUGGAUGAUUUCAACUUUGAAAGGCAAAGCAAAACCAGCGGUGGGAGAGGCUUCUGGUUAGAGAAUAGACUUUGAAAUCAGACCUGCCUUUUAUCACUUACUAGCAGUGCAACUAUGGAUAAAGAGACUGUGGCUCAGAAAAUACAAGCAACUUAUAAAAGAGAAAUAUCUGGACCACAAAGAGUCAACUCAUAGCUUUAUCUAAGGCUCCAGGGCUCUGAAUGGAGUCUCACCCUGUCACCCAGACUGGAGUGCAAUGGCGUGAUCUCGGCUAACUACAAACUCUGCCUCGUGGGAUCAAGUGAUUCUCCUGCCUCAGCCUCCCAAGUAGCUGGGAUUACAGCCAGUCAGGAAAAUCUUGCUUCUCAAACUCCUGUCUUGACCCCUUCCUGAACUUUGCCUCCUGGAUCUUGAGGUCUGCCUUCUGUGGAAGAGAAAUACUAGAAUCAAUGAACUGUGAACUAGAGCCCUGGGAUUAUCAACAGCUGAAAUUUUGAGAGCCACCUUAUAGAAAGCCUAACAGCAAAGACUGGAGAGAGGCUUCCAGCCAACAGCCAGCAAGGAAUUGAAGCCCUCAGUCCAAUAGCAGUGAGGAAUUGAAUCCUGCCAACAGCCUCGUGGACCGACUGCUUCAUGCUGGGCUUCAGACAUGAGAGGCUAGGAGUAGGAGGCAUGCCUUGUUC